AUUGAACGCUGGCGGCAGGCCUAACACAUGCAAGUCGAGCGGAAACGAUCCUAGCUUGCUAGGAGGCGUCGAGCGGCGGACGGGUGAGUAACGCGUGAGAAUCUACCCAUGAGUGGGGGACAACCCGGGGAAACUCGGGCUAAUACCGCAUACGCCCUACGGGGGUAAAGCAGGGGACCUUCGGGCCUUGCGCUGAUGGAUGAGCUCGCGUCGGAUUAGCUUGUUGGUGAGGUAAAGGCUCACCAAGGCGACGAUCCGUAGCUGGUCUGAGAGGAUGAUCAGCCACACCGGGACUGAGACACGGCCCGGACUCCUACGGGAGGCAGCAGUGGGGAAUCUUGGACAAUGGGGGCAACCCUGAUCCAGCCAUGCCGCGUGUGUGAAGAAGGCCUUCGGGUUGUAAAGCACUUUCAGCAGGGAGGAAGGCUUACCCCUAAUACGGGUGAGUACUUGACGUUACCUGCAGAAGAAGCACCGGCUAAUUUCGUG
rnacentral:rRNA from 1 species